rnacentral:rRNA from 1 species
UUCAACAACGGAUCUCUUGGCUCUGGCAUCGAUGAAGAACGCAGCGAAAUGCGAUAAGUAAUGUGAAUUGCAGAAUUCAGUGAAUCAUCGAAUCUUUGAACGCACAUUGCGCCCGCCAGUAUUCUGGCGGGCAUGCCUGUUCGAGCGUCAUUACAACC